UACAACAAAUACAAAUUCUAUAAGCUGAUUGGCAGAUUUUUCUAAGUCGGGUUACGAAUUUUUAUACACCUUCAUAAAAGCUAAUAAAUGGUCGUCAAACAAAAGAAUCAUGACACGCCCAAAUUCUAAAAUAUUGCUUUAAGUGAAUUAAAUAUACCAUAUAAAAGUCGGAGUGAGAGGAAACAUAUUUGGGAGCAAAAAAAAAAAAAUGGCUUCCGAUAACGAUGACGUGUUAUUAUUAUCUUGGCAGUUUAAAUAUCAAAUAUAUAUCAAAUAUAUAUCAAAUAUAUAUCAAAUAUAUAUCAAAUAUAUAUCCUAUUAUUUCUAAAACUAGUAACUUACCAUGGUGCAUAAAACAUAACCAAUGUAGUUUCAUGUUGCUUUAACACAGAAUUGAAAUUGUCAUCCGUCAAAUCCAGCACAUCUUGCUCAGCGCCAGCAACUAGUGCCACAGAAAUGCAAAGAAUCACUAGUAAUCGAUGCAUUGCAAAACUUUUAUAAACGGUCGCUAGUUUAUAAUAAAUGGAAUCACAACUUUUAA